rnacentral:sRNA from 1 species
AGGUUCUGUCACAGCGCUCAAUUGACUGUAUGUAUCGGCAGCGGCCUCGGGGGUUGCAAGUGUGGGAAUCGGCAAAGGGAAGAGGAUCACUCGGAAGCCCGUCUCUUCAUAGGUCUCUCGUAAGGCGGCAUUCUCCAGUGCCUCUCCAAUGUUCUUGCGCCCUUUAGGGAGGAGAAUCUCUUGGUUUUUGUUCUGGCGAAUGAGUAGCAUCUUUGCCUGAGUGGGAUCCAAAGUGACUGUGCCACAGCUGAUGCUAAAAGCAUCACAAAGGUGUAACGAUUUAUCAAAAUCAAGGGAGGGCAUAGAGAGAAGAAUACACAUGCACAUCAACCACCUGAAGAUCAGAGAUAAACAGCUUGGUACUAGUAUUUGAUUAACUAGUACAGCAAUUGUGAGUAAUCUGAAUGUAAUUAAGAGUGACUUUACCAGUUAAUGUGUGUUACUACAAGUAGCCUUAGCUCAUCAGCAUCAAAUGAGGGUGAAAAUAACCGACUAUUUUUGACUUAUUCAUUGUGAUGCAGCAAAGUUAACGAGGGAGCAUUAAGACC